rnacentral:rRNA from 1 species
AACGUAGGUGGCGAGCGUUAUCCGGAUUUACUGGGCGUAAAGGGUGUGCAGGCUGCCCGGUCAAGUGGUGUAUGAAAGUGCCCGGCUCAACCGGGCUUGGUUAGUGCCAGACUGACGGGCUAGAGAGCGGAGAGCGGGACGUGGAAUUCCGGGUGUAGUGGUGAAAUGCGUAGAGAUCCGGAGGAACCCCAGAGGCGAAGGCGGCGUCCUGGCUCGCAUCUGACGCUCAGACACGACAGCAUGGGGAGCGAACGGG